UUCAGCAUCCCGCAUGACAUCAAGGCUUACUUUGCAGAACUGUUCGGGUCGAUAGGGUGCGAAGUUCUGGUUACGGUUGGUGUAUGGGGUCCUUUCUUCUACUGCCAAUGGCCAAGCGGGACAUCGUACGCUGCCGCUACGAGGGACAACACCAGCACAUAACGCAGGAGGGCCCAAGAGUUUGAGCAUCAUACCUUGACAACAUUAAAGUUGUCUUACAGUUCCCCACUGAACUCUGAGCUGGCAGAGCGACGGUCUACUGCUCUAAUCAUCUUCUGCCUUCAUCGGAUUAUAGCA
rnacentral:lncRNA from 1 species